rnacentral:misc_RNA from 1 species
AAAAAAAAAGAAAAAAAAAAUCCCUGCCCAUCCGAUUUCAUGUUCCCAUUGGAUUCCCAUCGCAAACUGAGCCUUUCUUCAAUGAGGCCAGUCCAAGCAACAGAAACAAAAAGCAAAAAAGCAAAAAAGCAAAAAAUCCAACCACAUCACAGAAAGAAGGAUGAGCUCGCACUUCAAAGCAAAUCCAAAACAGAUUAUGCUUUCCUUCGUUUCUGUCAUCUUUAAUUGCCUGGCAAAAUGGAUGUUUACUGAUUUAAUGGAUAUAUUUUUAAGAUCCGAUCUGAAAGCACGCAAAUGGAGGAGAUCAGGAGAGAUGGAAGCACAGAGAGACGGUGAUAUGGGUCCCACCGAUCCACCGAUAGUAUCACAUCUAAGAUUUUGUGACUGUACCUAACAUUUUGACACACAAGCACAACCACUCGCGGCCAGCCCAGGGGCGGCUUUCCAAUUUUAACGCCGCCGUUUCUGCCCCGGUUGCCUCGGUUUUAGCAGCCUUCACUGUCCCAACUUCACCACUUUCAGGUAAUCUUCAAAUCCUGACCUGGACUUUGCCUGAAAGAUUUGUAAAGAUCUCAAUAUAUUAGAUCCGCAGAAUCUCGACUUUAUCAUCCUCUCUCUCUCUUUCCCGUUUUUCAAACCAAAAGCAAAUCUUUCGCUUUCCUUGUUCGCUCCUUUGCUUGUAUAAAAGCCCCACCUGAACGUCCCUGAUAGGAUGCAUCAAAUCUUUUACAACACACUCUCUCUCUAAGUCUCUCUCUCUUUCCCCUUUCGUGUCACCGCACAUUCGACGGAUACCACCCGCAGAGCAAGAAAAUUUCAUUUGUUUUCGGAUUUCAUGGCGGCUGCCAGUGAGGUUUUGAGGCGGAGUUUGCCGGAGGAGGUUGGAGUUUCCAAUGGGUCAUCUUCGACUUCAGAAGAGCUUCAUGUUCUUGCUGUAGAUGAUAGCCAUGUGGACCGGAAGUUUAUUGAGCAGUUGCUCAAGAUCUCAUCAUGUAAAGUUACGGCUGUCGAGAGUGGGACUAGAGCCCUGCAGUAUCUUGGAUUGGAUGGAGAGAAGAACUCCGUUGGGUUCAACGUAGGGAAAACUACUUUGGUUCAGAAAAUUUUUUCUUAGUUUUCUGUUUGUUUGCUAAGGAAAGGAUUUAGCUGAUAUUCAGUGUUCUGAUGUAUAUGAUGAUGGUGUUGGGUUUGAUUAUAGGACUUGAAAGUGAAUCUUAUCAUGACGGAUUACUCCAUGCCGGGGAUGACAGGAUAUGAACUGCUUAGAAAGAUCAAGGUGGGUGAGAGUAAUUCGUGUCUUUCCAUGAUUUUGAAGAUUUUAUGGAAUACUUACUUGAAAAUAGUAGAGUUAAUGGGUUUUUAAUUCGAAUUUAUGAGCAGGAAUCAUCAGCUUUUAGGGAGAUACCUGUAGUGAUCAUGUCAUCUGAGAACAUUUUGGCUCGAAUUGACAGGUACCAUUUUUUGGCAUACUCUGGAUUUUGGAGCUAGGGAUUGUCGUAUUUGGAAGUAGCUUCUCAAUCAAUACAGGAACAUAUUGUUAUUAGAUUGUCUGUCAGAUGGAUACUUGUGAAUUAUGGACUGGAAUAAAAUCGAAUUCUUUAGAUUUGUAUUUAACUUUAGCAGCCCAUGAUCAUGUACUACCAGCAAUGGCUAAGAAUCUAAUGACAAAUUUGAUUUACAGGUGUUUGGAAGAAGGAGCAGAGGAAUUCAUAGUGAAACCAGUAAAACUAUCUGAUGUGAAACGGCUGAAAGAUUUCAUAAUGAGAGGAGAGGGAGAAGAAAACGGAAAGAGAAGGAUUCUGAAGAGAAAGAUGGAAGAUGAUGUCUUUUCAUUAUCUUCUCAGUUGCCUGCUUCUGAUUUAGUGUCAUCGGAACUGGAGUCUUCAACACCAUCAUCGACCUUGUAUAUAUCUACUAAAAGAACUAAAUUGUUAGAUAGAGACUAAUUUGGUGAUUCACUCAAGUUUUUUUUUUCUUUUUUUUUUGGGUUGUUUUAUCUGGGGAUUGUUGAAAUGUUGAUUGGAUAAUACCCCUUUGGGUUAUUUGCUGUGUAGAAACCUUUGAGGUCAAGUGAAAUUGUCUUCCAUUUUCUGCAGGAUUAUUGAUUGGAAUUUGUCUAUUUUUUGGAGCUAAAUUUGUAGUCAUGGGUUUUAUUCAGAUAGAGUUCCUUUGAGUUUUUCUUUAAAUAUGAUCAAUGAAAAAAAAAAAAAUCUGAUAAGCCCUGUUCUCUUCCCUUAUUCGCAAUAUUUUCUCUUGUACUGGGAUUGGUUUGGUUCAAUUGUUGUUAUUGGACUACAACUUUGCAAAAGUUAAUAUUUUUCUUGUGGCUGGGUUUCGGGUUAUCUGAAACUAAUGAUCUAAAGGAACCACUGAGAAUUUUUAAUUGGUGAGAAUUGGUUGGAGUCUUGGAGAGGAUAGUUCUAAACUUCUAAUUCUGAUCUAACACCAUAAUAGCCAGUUUUAUCCAUAAAUUGGUCAAGUUAUAAGCUUUUCAUCAAUAAUAGUGUUCUUUCCCCAGUGUUUCCAUUGUCUCCCAUUAUUUUUAAUUCAAAACUGUUUUGAGGGCGAGAGUUUUAUUUUCACUUAAGAAAAACGAAAAAGCUUUCAAUUGAAUUUUGUUUUGUUAGAUGCAAGUAUGCUUUUUUAUCAUCAAGCAUUAACUUUGACUGACAAAUUGCAAGACCACUAUUUAGGCUUCCCUUUCAUAUUUUCAUACUUUUGAAUGAUAAUGAUUCAAUGCGUUCAUUUGCAAGCUGAUGGAUUUGGCAUUCUGCCAAAGUAAUCAAAUCCAGCAGUUCAAUCUCUCAUUUGCACAUGCAAACCAGUCCACUGGCUUACAUCUUACUGGUUCCCCAUAUAUAGCUUGGCAUUUAGAAUUGCGAAAAAAAAAAAAAAAGAGAAGCAGAA